rnacentral:misc_RNA from 1 species
AACGCACCUUGCGCCCCUUGGUAUUCCGAGGGGCACACCCGUUUGAGUGUCGUGAAAACCUCAACCUUCUCGGUUUCUUCUGGACACCGAAGGAGGCUUGGACUUUGGAGGCCUUUGCUGGCGUCUCGUCAGCUCCUCUCAAAUGAAUUAGCGGGGUCCUCUUUGCCGAUCCUCGACAUGUGAUAAGAUGUUUCCAUGUCUUUGGUUUCUGGCUCUGUUGCUUUUGGGACCCGCUUCUAACCGUCUCAACCUUGCAUCGAGACAAACGUUCGAGUGUGUCUCCCUUCUCGGGGAACUCUCUCGAACCCACGAACCCUUGACCUCAAAUCGGGUGAGACUACCCGCUGAACUUAA